GUCUGUCCAGGUCUUGUUGGA
rnacentral:miRNA from 1 species